rnacentral:rRNA from 1 species
UACGUAGGUGGCAAGCGUUAUCCGGAUUUACUGGGUGUAAAGGGCGUGUAGGCGGGAUGGUAAGUCAGAUGUGAAAACUAUGGGCUCAACCCAUAGCCUGCAUUUGAAACUAUCGUUCUUGAGUGUUGGAGAGGCAGGCGGAAUUCCGUGUGUAGCGGUGAAAUGCGUAGAUAUUAGGAGGAACACCAGUGGCGAAGGCGGCCUGCUGGGCUUUUACUGACGCUGAGGCUCGAAAGUGUGGGGAGCAAACAGG